rnacentral:rRNA from 1 species
GACGAACGCUGGCGGCGUGCUUAACACAUGCAAGUCGAACGGAAAGGCCCUGCUUUUGUGGGGUGCUCGAGUGGCGAACGGGUGAGUAACACGUGAGUAACCUGCCCUUGACUUUGGGAUAACUUCAGGAAACUGGGGCUAAUACCGGAUAGGAGCUCCUGCUGCAUGGUGGGGGUUGGAAAGUUUCGGCGGUUGGGGAUGGACUCGCGGCUUAUCAGCUUGUUGGUGGGGUAGUGGCUUACCAAGGCUUUGACGGGUAGCCGGCCUGAGCGGGUGACCGGCCACAUUAGGACUGAGAUACGGCCCAGACUCCUACGGGAGGCAGCAGUGGGGAAUAUUGCACAAUGGGCGGAAGCCUGAUGCAGCGACGCCGCGUGCGGGAUGACGGCCUUCGGGUUGUAAACCGCUUUCGCCUGUGACGAAGCGUGAGUGACGGUAAUGGGUAAAGAAGCACCGGCUAACUACGUG